UUAUCAUUUAGAGGAAGGAGAAGUCGUAACAAGGUUUUCCGUAGGUGAACCUGCGGAAGGAUCAUUGUCGAUGCCUGCAAAGUAGACCGGCGAACCUGUUAAAACAUGCGGGGGGUUUGAGAAGGGGUGCGCGAGCCCCCCCAAUCACGCUCCCCCCACCUCGGGACCUGGCUUGCUUUCCCCCUGGCGGGGAACUCGGCCAAGCUCCCGACAAACGAACCCCGGCGCUGUCUGCGCCAAGGAACAAUAACCGAAGAGCUGGUCUCCCGGUGCCCCGUCCGCGGCGUGCACGGGAGGCGUUUGCGUCUUUUGAAUCCAAAACGACUCUCGGCAACGGAUAUCUCGGCUCUCGCAUCGAUGAAGAACGUAGCGAAAUGCGAUACUUGGUGUGAAUUGCAGAAUCCCGUGAACCAUCGAGUUUUUGAACGCAAGUUGCGCCCAAAGCCAUUAGGCCAAGGGCACGUCUGCCUGGGCGUCACGCAUCACGUCGCCCCAACCCCCAACGGCCCAGCCGGAUACUGCGGGAGUUGGGGCGGAGAUUGGCCUCCCGUCCGCGCGACCGUGAGCGGUUGGCCCAAAAAACGAGUUCUUGACGAUGGACGUCACGACAAGUGGUGGUUGAAAGACCUCUCGCAUCACGUCGUGGGGCGCCUAGUCUGCAGCGAGCUCCGACCCUGUGCACCUGAUUCGCUCUAGGGCGACGGUGCUUCGACCGCGACCCCAGGUCAGACGGGAUUACCCGCUGAGUUUAAGCAUAUCAAU
rnacentral:misc_RNA from 1 species